GUUAUAUGGUCAAGUGAAGAAGCGCAUACGGUGGAUGCCUUGGCAGUCAGAGGCGAUGAAAGACGUGGUAGCCUGCGAAAAGCUUCGGGGAGUCGGCAAACAGACUUUGAUCCGGAGAUGUCUGAAUGGGGGAACCCAGCCAUCACAAGAUGGUUAUCUUGUACUGAAUACAUAGGUGCAAGAGGCGAACCAGGGGAACUGAAACAUCUAAGUACCCUGAGGAAAAGAAAUCAACCGAGAUUCCCUUAGUAGUGGCGAGCGAACGGGGACUAGCCCUUAAGUGGCUUUGAGAUUAGCGGAACGCUCUGGAAAGUGCGGCCAUAGUGGGUGAUAGCCCUGUACGCGAAAGUCUCUUAGUCAUGAAAUCGAGUAGGACGGAGCACGAGAAACUUUGUCUGAAUAUGGGGGGACCAUCCUCCAAGGCUAAAUACUACUGACUGACCGAUAGUGAACUAGUACCGUGAGGGAAAGGCGAAAAGAACCCCGGAGAGGGGAGUGAAAUAGAUCCUGAAACCGUAUGCGUACAAGCAGUGGGAGCAGACUUUGUUCUGUGACUGCGUACCUUUUGUAUAAUGGGUCAGCGACUUAUUUUCAGUGGCGAGCUUAACCGAAUAGGGGAGGCGUAGCGAAAGCGAGUCUUAAUAGGGCGUCUAGUCGCUGGGAAUAGACCCGAAACCGGGCGAUCUAUCCAUGGGCAGGUUGAAGGUUAGGUAACACUGACUGGAGGACCGAACCGACUACCGUUGAAAAGUUAGCGGAUGACCUGUGGAUCGGAGUGAAAGGCUAAUCAAGCUCGGAGAUAGCUGGUUCUCCUCGAAAGCUAUUUAGGUAGCGCCUCAUGUAUCACUGUAGGGGGUAGAGCACUGUUUCGGCUAGGGGGUCAUCCCGACUUACCAAACCGAUGCAAACUCCGAAUACCUACAAGUGCCGAGCAUGGGAGACACACGGCGGGUGCUAACGUCCGUCGUGAAAAGGGAAACAACCCAGACCGUCAGCUAAGGUCCCAAAGUUAUGGUUAAGUGGGAAACGAUGUGGGAAGGCUUAGACAGCUAGGAGGUUGGCUUAGAAGCAGCCACCCUUUAAAGAAAGCGUAAUAGCUCACUAGUCGAGUCGGCCUGCGCGGAAGAUGUAACGGGGCUCAAACCAUACACCGAAGCUACGGGUAUCACGUAAGUGAUGCGGUAGAGGAGCGUUCUGUAAGCCUGUGAAGGUGAGUUGAGAAGCUUGCUGGAGGUAUCAGAAGUGCGAAUGCUGACAUGAGUAACGACAAUGGGUGUGAAAAACACCCACGCCGAAAGACCAAGGUUUCCUGCGCAACGUUAAUCGACGCAGGGUUAGUCGGUCCCUAAGGCGAGGCUGAAAAGCGUAGUCGAUGGAAAACAGGUUAAUAUUCCUGUACUUCUGGUUAUUGCGAUGGAGGGACGGAGAAGGCUAGGCCAGCUUGGCGUUGGUUGUCCAAGUUUAAGGUGGUAGGCUGAAAUCUUAGGUAAAUCCGGGGUUUCAAGGCCGAGAGCUGAUGACGAGUUGCCUUUAGGCGACGAAGUGGUUGAUGCCAUGCUUCCAAGAAAAGCUUCUAAGCUUCAGAUAACCAGGAACCGUACCCCAAACCGACACAGGUGGUUGGGUAGAGAAUACCAAGGCGCUUGAGAGAACUCGGGUGAAGGAACUAGGCAAAAUGGCACCGUAACUUCGGGAGAAGGUGCGCCGGUGAGGGUGAAGCACUUGCUGCGUAAGCCCACGCCGGUCGAAGAUACCAGGCCGCUGCGACUGUUUAUUAAAAACACAGCACUCUGCAAACACGAAAGUGGACGUAUAGGGUGUGACGCCUGCCCGGUGCCGGAAGGUUAAUUGAUGGGGUUAGCUAACGCGAAGCUCUUGAUCGAAGCCCCGGUAAACGGCGGCCGUAACUAUAACGGUCCUAAGGUAGCGAAAUUCCUUGUCGGGUAAGUUCCGACCUGCACGAAUGGCGUAACGAUGGCGGCGCUGUCUCCACCCGAGACUCAGUGAAAUUGAAAUCGCUGUGAAGAUGCAGUGUAUCCGCGGCUAGACGGAAAGACCCCGUGAACCUUUACUAUAGCUUUGCACUGGACUUUGAAUUUGCUUGUGUAGGAUAGGUGGGAGGCUUUGAAGCGUGGACGCCAGUUCGCGUGGAGCCAUCCUUGAAAUACCACCCUGGCAACUUUGAGGUUCUAACUCAGGUCCGUUAUCCGGAUCGAGGACAGUGUAUGGUGGGUAGUUUGACUGGGGCGGUCUCCUCCUAAAGAGUAACGGAGGAGUACGAAGGUGCGCUCAGACCGGUCGGAAAUCGGUCGUAGAGUAUAAAGGCAAAAGCGCGCUUGACUGCGAGACAGACACGUCGAGCAGGUACGAAAGUAGGUCUUAGUGAUCCGGUGGUUCUGUAUGGAAGGGCCAUCGCUCAACGGAUAAAAGGUACUCCGGGGAUAACAGGCUGAUACCGCCCAAGAGUUCAUAUCGACGGCGGUGUUUGGCACCUCGAUGUCGGCUCAUCACAUCCUGGGGCUGAAGCCGGUCCCAAGGGUAUGGCUGUUCGCCAUUUAAAGUGGUACGCGAGCUGGGUUUAGAACGUCGUGAGACAGUUCGGUCCCUAUCUGCCGUGGACGUUUGAGAUUUGAGAGGGGCUGCUCCUAGUACGAGAGGACCGGAGUGGACGAACCUCUGGUGUUCCGGUUGUCACGCCAGUGGCAUUGCCGGGUAGCUAUGUUCGGGAAAGAUAACCGCUGAAAGCAUCUAAGCGGGAAACUUGCCUCAAGAUGAGAUCUCACUGGAACCUUGAGUUCCCUGAAGGGCCGUCGAAGACUACGACGUUGAUAGGUUGGGUGUGUAAGCGCUGUGAGGCGUUGAGCUAACCAAUACUAAUUGCCCGUGAGGCUUGACCAUAUAACACCCAAGCAAUU
rnacentral:rRNA from 1 species